ACUCGAGACUGUUCCAAGAGAUUUCUAUGAAAAGGCUCCAUAACUAAGUUCUGCCUAAUACAUCAGCUCAGGUGCAUAUUUCUUCCCAGUACUUCAAAGCAAUCUGCUGAACUGGCUGGACUUUCCCUGGAGGGAUAAAGUACAGAUGUUCAGCUGCAACGUGAGCAUCUUGAAGUUCUCUGACAAUUUCCCCUCCACAGGGCAAGCUCCACUUGAAAGCUAUUCUACAUUUCCCUUUCCCUCAGUCGUAGGAGGCGUCUUACAUUUUUGCUGUCCUGAACUGUGCCAAGGAAGCUGAUGCUGAAUUUCCAGAAGCAGAAAUUGAUGAAGUUGAUAUUUCAUUUACAGAGAGACUUUCUGGGUAGUGGAGACCUUAAAAGGCUUCUGUGUCCUUUUUUUGGAAGAUCCUCAUGGAAAAAGGAAGGAUGCCCGAUUAUCACCUGUAGAAACAAAUAGUUUUGAGUCUCCAGAGAACGUGAGGCCAUGCUUUCAGUGAUGUAUUUCAAGUGCUUAGGUUCACUGUACCUGAUCUUGUUCACAAGGAGGAUUGAAGACACCAUGCAAUGUCUGGGACAUCAUCUCUGUUGAUUCUCAGAAGCGCAUUAUAUGGAGCAACUCUUUGCUCACCUUUUUCCACAGUAUCUGAGAAGCUGUUUGAUUGUUCCACGUACUGAGCUGAUAACUGCAGCUUCCAGAGAAAUAAAAGGUGUGUGAAUAGUUCCCUUACUGAAAAC
rnacentral:lncRNA from 1 species